AACGAACGCUGGCGGCGUGCCUAACACAUGCAAGUCGUGCGAGAAAGUUCCUUCGGGAGCGAGUAAAGCGGCGCACGGGUGAGUAACACGUAGGUAACCUGCCCCCCAGUCUGGAACAACUAGAGGAAACUCUAGCUAAUGCCGGAUGAGACCACGAUCCCUUCGGGGGUUGCGGCCAAAGAUGGCCUCUACUUGUAAGCUAUCGCUGAGGGAUGGGCCUGCGGGCCAUUAGCUUGUUGGUGAGGUAACGGCUCACCAAGGCUGUGAUGGCUAGCUGGUCUGAGAGGAUGACCAGCCACACUGGGACUGAGACACGGCCCAGACUCCUACGGGAGGCAGCAGUGGGGAAUAUUGCGCAAUGGGCGAAGCCUGACGCAGCGACGCCGCGUGGGUGAUGAAGGCCU
rnacentral:rRNA from 1 species